GGUUAAAAAGUACAAAUGCAAAACCAAACCAAGGAGCCCACACCAUAAUAACAAAAACUUUGAUUAAAAAAAAAAAAGGCUACUCUAUUCUAACCCUCCACCACAAUAAAUUAGUAGAAAAAUAAAUUUACAAAUAUCAAGCAACCACCCACCACCAUCAUAUCUUUUACGCCACAAUAUAAUCCCAUCGACUCUCCCGCCACCGACUUUUCUUCCACUUUUUGAUCGUUAAAUGGAUAAUUACACGCCUCGUAACUUGGAUCUGUGGCAGUCACCACUCCGGUGUGGUUAAAAUCACAGUUGAAGUCAUGCCGCCCAAAACUCUGAUAGUACGCAUUCAUUGCAUACGCUGCAUGUGACCGCACUGUAUUUGGGUCGAAGCAAGGCCCACCUGCUUGUAUGGGCCUGCAAUUUACUCCACUGCUGCAGACGUAGUCUAUAUUCUUCUGCAACGCCUCAUCACCGGCGUCCGACUUUGGCACGCACCACUUCUUGUCCGGACUUGAGGACGGUGCCUCCGCUGUCGUACCGGAGGCGGGACCCUCCGCCUGAGCAUUGCGUAGAACGCCGACGUCGUAAACCGGGGUCAGAUCCGGCUUGAACAACCCGAAAUUCUGUUCCGAAACACCUGGUUUCAGAUUCUCGUUAAACAAAGAGAAAAUAUAAGUCUCGAAAGUCCUGUUAGGCAUCAACGGCGUUCCUUUCCAGGAGUUCACGUGCUUCACGAGGUUCCCGUUGUACGACAGCGCGUUUUCCAAGCUCACACCCGGUUGAUUCGGAUCGCCCACCGACGGCCAACCGGUUUCUGCCACCACGAUGUCCACGUCCUCAUAACCCAACCUUUUCAUCGCCGAAUAAACCGCAUCAAGCUGGGCGUCGAACAUGUUGGUGUAAUUCUUCCCUGUGGCCGCGUCAAAAACGCCAGCAUUUGGUUUAAACAAUGCGUAGUUCAAAGUCUCCGGCUUGAAACCAAAGUACGGGUAUGGAUUAACCAUGAAAGGAGACUUCGUUUUCCGAUGAAAGUCGAGAAUCGGAGCGAAUAUUCUCUGAUCGUAGCCUUUUCGAAACCGACCAGUACUCGGUGGCUCAGAUGAUGAUAAUAUACCUAAAGAGUGAGGAGUCGAGACUUUAAUAUCAGUGACGUUAGCGAGCUCGAGAGCUGAUUUGAGAGCUUUCAUGGCUGGUAAAGUGUGUGCUAUUAGCGAUUUAUCAGACGUAGCGAGGAUCUCGUUGCCCAUCGCAAUGUAUUUGAUGAUUGUUUUUGGGUGAAAGGGUAAAAUGUUGUUGGCGAUCCAUGCCUGAGCGGCUGGAAGCUUAGCUAGAGAAGGGAUGUCUCCAUUGCCGACGGUGACGGUUACUGAAAUCCCGGUGCUGGCAAAGGCACGGAGGAUGUCGGGGUUGGCGUCGAAUAUCUUGAUACGGUCGAUGGUGGUUUGAGUUUUGAGGAAACUGGCAACUUGAGUGGGUUGAGGAAGGUUAUCGGCGACGGUGCCAUAGUUUACACCGACUGAGUAGGCGGCGGUGGAGAGGCGGAGGAGGAAGAGGUAGGAGGUGAGGAAUAGAAAGAGUUGGGGAAAAGAGUCAACUACAGAGAUAGAAGGUUUUGCCAUUUUUCGAAUGAAAGUGGGAGACAGUGAACGGCGAGUAAAGUUGAG
rnacentral:misc_RNA from 1 species